rnacentral:rRNA from 1 species
CCAGACUCCUACGGGAGGCAGCAGUGGGGGAUAUUGCACAAUGGGGGAAACCCUGAUGCAGCGACGCCGCGUGGGCGAAGAAGUAUUUCGGUAUGUAAAGCCCUAUCAGCAGGGAAGAAGAAAUGACGGUACCUGAGUAAGAAGCAUCGGCUAACUCCGUGCCAGCAGCCGCGGUAAUACGGAGGAUGCGAGCGUUAUCCGGAUUUAUUGGGUUUAAAGGGUGCGUAGGCGGAUUUUUAAGUCAGCGGUAAAAUGUCCGGGCUCAACCCGGGCCGGCCGUUGAAACUGGGGAUCUUGAGUGGGCGAGAAGUAUGCGGAAUGCGUGGUGUAGCGGUGAAAUGCAUAGAUAUCACGCAGAACUCCGAUUGCGAAGGCAGCAUACCGGCGCCCGACUGACGCUGAGGCACGAAAGCGUGGGGAUCGAACAGGAUUAGAUACCCUUGUAGU